CAAGAUUUGAAGAAGUUGUUUGACAUGGUUAUACAAACCUACCGAGCUCAAAGAGGGUCUAUGGUUUCAAAGUCUAAGUUAAGCAAUAUCAAAUGGACACCAAUUAAGUGUCCAAAACAAUCCAACGGCCAUGAU